GUUAAAAUAUUCAAAAUGGCGGACGGAGGAGCAGCGAGUCAAGAUGAGAGUUCAGCCGCGGCGGCAGCAGCAGCAGACUCAAGAAUGAACAAUCCGUCAGAAACCAAUAAAUCGUCUAUGGAGAGUGGAGAUGCCAGCACAGGCACACAGACCAAUGGCCUGGACUUUGAGAAGCAGCCCGUGCCUGUCGGAGGGGCCAUCUCCACAGCCCAGGCCCAGGCUUUCCUUGGGCAUCUUCACCAGGUCCAGCUUGCUGGGACAAGUUUACAGGCUGCUGCUCAAUCUUUAAAUGUACAGUCUAAAUCUAGUGAAGAGUCCGGAGAUUCGCAGCAGUCAAGCCAGCCUUCCCAGCAGCCUUCAGUGCAGUCAGCCAUUCCCCAGACUCAGCUAAUGCUGGCUGGGGGACAGAUAACUGGGCUCACACUGACACCAGCCCAGCAACAGCUUUUACUACAGCAGGCCCAGGCCCAGGCCCAGCUCCUGGCUGCUGCAGUGCAGCAACACUCCGCCAGCCAACAGCACAGUGCUGCUGGGGCCACCAUCUCAGCCUCCGCUGCCACACCCAUGACGCAGAUCCCCCUGUCUCAGCCCAUACAGAUUGCACAGGAUCUUCAACAAUUGCAACAGCUUCAGCAACAAAAUCUCAACUUGCAACAGUUCGUGUUGGUGCACCCAACCACCAACUUGCAACCAGCACAGUUUAUCAUCUCUCAGACCCCCCAGGGCCAGCAGGGUCUCCUGCAAGCGCAAAAUCUUUUAACGCAACUACCUCAGCAAAGCCAAGCCAACCUCCUACAGCCACAGCCAAGCAUCACCCUCACGUCCCAGCCUACCACCCCAACUCGCACAAUAGCAGCAACCCCAAUUCAGACACUUCCACAGAGCCAGACAACACCAAAGCGAAUUGAUACUCCCAGCUUGGAGGAGCCCAGUGACCUUGAGGAGCUUGAGCAAUUUGCCAAGACUUUUAAACAAAGACGAAUCAAACUUGGAUUCACUCAGGGUGAUGUUGGGCUCGCUAUGGGGAAAUUAUAUGGAAAUGACUUCAGCCAAACCACCAUCUCUCGCUUUGAAGCCUUGAACCUCAGCUUUAAGAACAUGUGCAAGUUAAAGCCCCUUUUAGAGAAGUGGCUAAAUGACGCGGAGAACCUCUCAUCUGAUUCUACAGCAUCUAGCCCAAGUGCUUUGAAUUCUCCAGGGUUGGGGGCUGAGGGCUUGAAUCGUAGGAGGAAAAAACGCACCAGCAUAGAGACCAACAUCCGUGUGGCCUUAGAAAAGAGUUUCAUGGAGAAUCAAAAGCCUACCUCGGAAGAUAUCACCUUGAUUGCUGAACAGCUCAAUAUGGAGAAGGAGGUGAUUCGUGUUUGGUUUUGUAACCGCCGCCAGAAGGAGAAAAGAAUCAACCCGCCAAGCAGUGGUGGGACCAGCAGCUCACCAAUCAAAGCAAUUUUCCCCAGCCCAACCUCACUGGUAGCAACCACUCCAAGCCUUGUGACAAGCAGUACAGCAACUACUCUCACAGUCAACCCUGUGCUCCCCUUAACCAGUGCUGCCAUGACUAAUCUUUCUCUUACAGGCACUACAGACUCCACGUCCAACAACACGGCCACCGUGAUUUCCACAGCACCCCCUGCUUCCUCAGCAGUCACAUCUCCCUCCUUGAGUCCCUCUCCUUCUGCCUCAGCCUCCACCUCUGAGGCCUCUAGUGCCAGCGAGACCAGCACAACACAGACCACCUCCACGCCUCUCCCCUCCCCUCUUGGAGCCAGCCAGGUGAUGGUGACAGCCUCUGGCUUACAGACUGCAGCCGCCGCUGCUCUCCAAGGAGCUGCACAGUUGCCAGCAAAUGCCAGUCUUGCUGCUAUGGCUGCUGCUGCAGGACUCAAUCCAGGCCUGAUGGCACCCUCACAGUUUGCUGCUGGAGGUGCCUUACUCAGUCUCAAUCCGGGGACCCUGGGUGGUGCUCUCAGCCCGGCCCUGAUGAGCAACAGUACACUGGCAACCAUUCAAGCUCUUGCUUCUAGUGGCUCUCUUCCAAUAACAUCUCUGGAUGCAACUGGGAACCUGGUAUUCGCCAAUGCAGGAGGAGCCCCCAACAUCGUGACUGCCCCUCUGUUCCUGAACCCUCAGAACCUCUCUCUGCUCACCAGCAACCCAGUAAGCUUGGUUUCUGCCGCUGCAGCCUCCACAGGGAACUCCGCACCUACAGCCAGCCUUCAUGCCUCCUCCACCUCAACUGAGUCCAUCCAGAACUCUCUGUUCACAGUGGCCUCUGCCAGCGGGGCUGCCUCCACCACCACAGCUGCCUCCAAGGCACAGUGAGCUGGACGCAGAGCUGGGGCUUUCCUCACUGCAGGGUGAUAGGCUGGCUACCAGCUGGCUAAAACAUGAUGCCUGUCAUUGGCUUCCUCCCACCAUGUUGUGAGGAUGAGGAAGACAUGGAGAGAAGAAAAAAAUUACACAUAACAGAAAAAAAAAAAAAAGAAUGGAGACAGGACAGCGUUUGCCUAAUUUUAUAAUAAAAACAAUGUCUUUUCAGGAUUGCUUCAUGGAUUGGAGAACUUUCUAACCAAAAAUUUUAAAGAAAAAAAAAACAGAAACAAAAUAUCAAAAACAGACAGACAAAAAUAAGUGAAAGGACUACUUAUCAUUUCCAGCAGUCAUGGUGACAAGCUAAGGGUGUUUCUAGACUACAUAAAUGAGCCCAUUGAAAAGGAAGAGCUUGUGAAAAUGGAUGAAGAUGGAUGAGGAACUGCUUGGAAGUGGCUGUCCUGUUUGUGAGGAAACAUGCAGAACAAUGAUCAAAUUUGUCUUUAUCUUGUUUCUAGUUUUGUUUCCUUUUGCAGCACCACUGUGCGACUAUGCAUUGUAUUUCGUAACCUUUGUGCUAGGUAGAUGCCUGUGACUUUUUAUCCGGGGCGGGUGGGUUGGGGGUUGCAAAUGAAGGAAAUUUUUACAUGGAUCUUUUUAAUCUCAGUUGAUUGGGGGAGGGGGGUUUGGUUCUAGGGUCAUACAAGCUCUAUCCCAAAGCAAAAUCCAAAUGUUAAUAAUACUAGCCUGAUGCAGAUACCAAAGACAAUUUCUUUCCUGCAGAACCUUAGACUUGUGUAUUAAGUACGAUUACCCAGCACUUGCAUUAGUCUAACCUCAGUAAUUCCAAAGCUUAGAUGUAUAUUUUGGUAUAUUUCCAGGAUAUUAAAAAAAAAAUGUCGUUUAACUUCUUGUUUGUUUCAGUGUAAUGCUCUUAAAGUCAUAGCAUGAAAUUGCGCUGUCCUAUUCUUGGUAGUUUGAAAUAAUAGUAUUUUUGUAUGUUUUGGGUGUGUCUAUGUAUUAACAUAACAGUUUUCACUGCCUAGGUGUAAUAAAAACGAAAGGUUCUGAGUGUACAUACUGUUUGGUAAGUCUCCACCAGUGUCCACGGAGUGUGGAGUCACUGAGGACUGCCCAGCAGGGGGCUGGUUUUAAAGAGACGCUGAUUGUGUUUUUUUUAAGAUGUUUGUUUCUGUCUUUAAAUAUCUUAACUUCCCCACUUGUUUUUUUCCUUUUUUUUAAUUAAUAUUAAUUCAGGGGUGUUUUUCCACUGUUGUCAAGGGAGGAACACAAGGAAACGGGCACCUUGGCCUCCCAAAAUAUGUUAUUUUAUGUACUUUAAAAUGUGAGUUUUUGAGUUCUUGUGUGUGGAAACUUACAAGAUGAUGUACAUGAUUCUUUCCAGAGUUGCCCAGCAGCUUUAACGAGGCAGUGGCAAUUCCUGAGUAGUUAGUUGGGUGUCCUCUACAUUUCUCCUUCAGACGACUCUGCAGUCUGGGUGGCUAUUGUGUAGCCUCUCUCCCCAGAGCAUCCGUAGCCAUUUCUCCUUCAGUGGGGAUGUUUUAUAAGAUUCAGCUGAUAACUCGGAGCACUGGCCCUCGUUAUCUGUUUUUCUUGAUUUGUAAAACGUGAAACCCAAACAGUUGUACUUGCUGGGAUCGGCUCAUAGCUCCAGAGGCCCGGGAAGCGGUGGCUGUGAGCGGUGCUGUCUCUUUAAAAGUGCCCUUGAUGUGAUUCCCCUCCUGGGCUGCCAGAGGGGAUAGGGCUUGGGAAAGAUUAUGUGGGUGCCAGUGAAUCAGAAUGAAAUGGUGGGUUUUAUGUAGAUGCAUUUGUCUGCUGUAAUUUUUAUAUAUAUUAAACUUACUGUAACUGUACAGUUCCGAUUUCUGUUGUAAAACAUUAAACCAUUUUCCAAGUGUUUUCA